UACGUAGGGUGCGAGCGUUAAUCGGAAUUACUGGGCGUAAAGCGUGCGCAGGCGGUUUUGUAAGGCAGAUGUGAAAGCCCCGGGCUUAACCUGGGAAUGGCAUUUGGGACUGCAAGGCUGGAGUUUGGCAGAGGAGACUGGAAUUCCUGGUGUAGCAGUGAAAUGCGUAGAUAUCAGGAGGAAUACCGAUGGCGAAGGCAGGUCUCUGGGCUAUAACUGACGCUCAUGCACGAAAGCGUGGGGAGCAAACAGG
rnacentral:rRNA from 1 species